GAUAAGAUCAAGCAGAGAACAUGGUAAGCUUUUUCAAUUUUGUUUUGGUUGCUGCCUUUUUCAUUAGAUCUGUUGAAAUUAUUUCAAAAAUUUUUUAUCGUUUGGGGUUUGGAUCUAAUACUUCAUUUCUGUAAUCUGGAUUUGCUGCGCUAUUUCAUUCCAGUUGUGUUAACAGAAACAAUGGUUCAUUGUGUGAUGAUUUUUUUUUUUUUUU
rnacentral:misc_RNA from 1 species